rnacentral:tRNA from 1 species
GCUGGCAUAGCUCAGUUGGUAGAGCAACUGAUUUGUAAUCAGUAGGUCCGCGGUUCGAAUCCGUGUGCCAGCACCA